CUUUAAUGGCAAUUAAUAGGUCCUUUUCAUUGCCAUUAAAGUGUAAUAAGCUUGAUAAACAUGCUUGUUUUAUAAGAAAAAUUUCAAAUGGCACUUAAAGGCUUUUGCAUCUGAAGUCUUCAAUUAUUAUUGUACAUAACUGAUAUAGCAUUGUAUUAGCAACAAUUUCCUUCACUGUUUUGUUUCUUUACGCUUUAUUAAAAGAAAAAAAAAAAAAGAAAGAAAGAAACUUCCCCCCAAUGUUCAAGACAUGGUUAGCUUGGUUUAUGUAAUGGAGAAUAUACAAUAUUGCCACAAUGUUCCAUAAUAAAGGAGUAACAUUAUCAAAACAACAUUUGUAAAAUGUGGAUAUUAUUCCAGAUUGUGAUGAAGUUUGGGCCAGAUCAUCUUUACAUCUGGCACUUCUGUUUUGGUUCUGGGUCUGGCUGGCAUCAACACCAUUGUGUGAAACAGCAUUGGGCUGAACUCAAAAGAAACAACAUAUAAUAAGAUACAAAAUAUAAUAAGAAACAAAAGAUGAAAUGCAUUAUUUUAGCUGAACACUGGCUUGACUGCAGAAGUGAGAUGAAUUCUGGGGGAAAGGAAAGUCUCGUGUUUUGCUGAACUGUUGCGUGAACGUGUUUACCAUAGGGCAGGGAUGGGCAACUUUGAUAUUGACGAGGGCCAACAUUUUUUCUCCUUGAUACCUGGGGACCAGAUUACUAAUCCACACUCGCACCUUUUACACUGUCUUACUCAAUUUACUUUUUACUAAGGGAAAUUUAUGUAUAAUUAAUGUCAUUUGUUUUAAAAAGAUUGUAUUAACUGUAGCCUAAAUGGGGAAACUUUGUUUUCAGUUGGCAAGCAAUAUUAAAGGGAUAGUUCACCCAAAAAAAUUUAAUUCUGUCAUCAUUUACCUACCCUCAAGUUUCUGUUGAACAAAGAAGAUAUUUUGAGGAAUGUUUGCUUUGGGUCUAAUACUGUGGAAGUCAAUGGUGCCCCAGAACUGUUCAGUUUCCCACAUUCUUCUGAAUAUCUUCUUUUGUGUUGAACAGAACAAAUACAUUUAUACAGGUUUGGAACAACUUGAGGGUGUGUAAAUAAUGACAUUUUUAUUUUUGGGUGAAUUAUCCCUUUAAUAUCUUUAUUAACAAUAUUAACAUCUCAAUGGCAUUUUCUGUAAAUUUGCAACAAACAAAUGUAGCUACAGUUUAUAUUUGAUACAUUUUGAACAUUUUCAACUCAGCCUCGUUAAAAAGUGCUUAUUUUAAAAUAUGACAAUCUACUGGGUGUUUACAGGAGACGAGAGGCGCUGAUUGGGCCAUGGUAGAUCGACGCGUAAAUCCACCAAUCACAGCGUGCUUUUCUCGUGACGUAGGAACAUUUGAAAUUGACGAACAGCGCGAAUGGUAGUUGAAGAAAUUGGCGCAAAAUGUCCCUGGUCUGAUUGUCUUUUUGACGGAAAAAGCGAGUACGGACUCGUUCACAAACAGAGUCGCGGCAGAUACAGAGUUGUGAUGGAGGAUGUUUUACCCGCUGGGACAGUUUGUGGCCCAAACAACAGAACUGUUCUGGUCAACGGAACUCUGCCUUCAACAAUAAAUACUGGAACAAUCCAAACGGCCUACUUAAAUAUGGACACUGAUGAUGCAACAAAAAGUCUUCAUUUACAACAAAGGCUCUGAGGAAAAACUCUACACAUAGACGGCUCAAUGCUGCUAACUGGCAGAGCAGCUGGAAAACUAAAAGACAAGAAAAGAAGAACAUUAAUACGGACGACUGUAUUAUUUUUCUUCAAGAACCAGGUCAAGCAAAGACAGUGAUGAGCACUCAGAGCAAACACAGCAGUCAGACGCAGGAUUACACACUGGACUUUAGAGUUCUUCAACAUGUGAUGUUGGACAUUCACUGUUUCUAAAGCCAAUAAUUUAUGUGGAUGCCAUUUAUAGACCUGUUAGAUUUUGUUUUAUUUUUGAGAUUAAUAAAAUUGUAUGUUUUAACAAUG